UACGUAGGGGGCAAGCGUUGUCCGGAUUUAUUGGGCGUAAAGCGCUCGCAGGUGGUUCGUUGCGUCGUGCGUGAAAGACCCCGGCUCAACUGGGGGGUGUCGUGCGAUACGGUCGGACUGGAGGCCAGUAGGGGGAUGCGGAAUUCCGGGUGUAGUGGUGGAAUGCGUAGAGAUCCGGAGGAACACCAGCGGCGAAGGCGGCAUCCUGGACUGGUCCUGACACUCAUGAGCGAAAGCGUGGGGAGCGAUCCGG
rnacentral:rRNA from 1 species